rnacentral:rRNA from 1 species
UACGUAGGGGGCAAGCGUUGUCCGGAAUCAUUGGGCGUAAAGAGCGUGUAGGCGGCCUGAUAAGUCGGCUGUGAAAGUCAAGGGCUCAACCCUUGAAUGCCGGCCGAUACUGUCAGGCUAGAGUCCGGAAGAGGCGAGUGGAAUUCCUGGUGUAGCGGUGAAAUGCGCAGAUAUCAGGAAGAACACCCGUGGCGAAGGCGGCUCUCUGGGCCGAUACUGACGCUGAGGAGCGAAAGCGUGGGGAGCGAACAGG